CACCCCGGCGCCGCGGUGAGGCGCCGCGCAUAUCAACGAGCCGCCCCCCCGCCGGCCUGCCGGCCCCGCCUCCUCCCGCCGGCCUGCCCGCCGACCCCAGGCAGCCGUUGGGCCGCUCGGCCGCCCGCGGGUUGCCAUGGCAACGGCGGGGCGGCGGGGCCUGCGGGGUGGUGGCCGCCCUGCCCUGCCCUGCCUUGCUCUGCCGCUUCGCGCUGCCCGGCCCCGCGGCGCUCGACUCUGCCGCCGUUUGCCCGCUGCGAUCAGAGCCGGGCGUAGCGGCUCGGGCGGCGGCAGGCUGCGGUCCCCGCGUUCAGCAGGGCAGUCAGAGGAGAUGGCGGCGGUCCCAGCACCUGCGCGCUGCUUUCCGAGCCGUCCUCAACGUCUCCGAGCAAAGGGCUUUCCCCCCCAGGCCGCGGGCACGCAGAUGCGUUUCUGCUUCCAUACCCCUGCUAUGUGAACGUUAGGAAAGCGUUGCUUCCCCUUUCCCGUGCUGAAUGCCGCUGAGAGCCGCUGAACUAACGCAGUGGGAGGGCUGGCACAAAAAUAACAUCUCUGGCGAUGUUUGCGUCACCUGCGUGCUGCUCCCCCGGCAAAUGCUCUGCUGGCAGAUGUGCUCACAUUGUGAGGGACGCAUCUUCCUCCUGGAAACAGCAGCCACCUGCGCUUGGUGCGGAUGGCCCAGGCUGAAUCCUUCUCAGCAGUGGCGGUGGACAUCUGCUCAGUGCUGCCGUGCUGUCCCUCCAGGCAUCCUGGAGCGAUGCGUUUGUACUGAGGUCUCCACAGGAUCACAGCAUGUCAGGGAUUGGAAGGGACCUCGAAAGAUCAUCCCACCCUGCACAGAACGUCUUAACAUUGCUGGCUUUAUGCGGUUGCUCUGAUAUUUACUGCAUUUUAUUUCUGUACAAAGCUGGAGGUAAGAACAACAGCAGGAGGGACACAGACCAGCCUUGCAAUCAGAGUGCUUACAGAGAGACAGAGGACAGAAGAAUUUUGGGUCUGAGCUUUGCCAGACAGAUCCUCACUUUGCAUUUUGAAUCUGACACCCCAGGGGCUUUAUAUUUUCCCUGUGUCCAUCUGCUGACAGGAGGAGUUUCAGCUAGUGUUUGGGCUUGCAUUUUAGGGCAUGUGGAGAAACAAAUUAGCAGUUGCCGCCGGGACAGUAUUUUG
rnacentral:lncRNA from 1 species